CUACGAAAUAGCAAACACGAUAAACAUGCAUGCAGAGAGCAAGCUAGCUAAUUCGGAAACCACACGGAAAAUAUUGAACAAUAGUUUGUCCCAAAAAAAAAAUACUUCAAGAGAUAUCCCGCCUCUUCAACUUAUAUAUUAUGUACCGUGAUAGGAAUGUGGCAUGCAUGGUUAUCUCGCCUCAUUCUCAGUCAACGAUUUCAUCAGCCUGGAUAUAACUAAUUUAUCACCGACUCAGAUUGAAUCAGUCGUGUUGAAAAAUUGACAUAUUAUUCAGCGGGAAAAUUAAUAACCCUUCUUAAUUCUUAUGUGCCUAGGUAGCUUAACUUGUCAAGGGAUUUAAAUACUCCUACCAUGCAAGUAGCUAGCAUAGCCAAGCUACACACACUAUCUGCAGCAGCGAACUGAAGUGAAUCCGGCGAAAAAAUUUCUGAUCUCUGAAGCACCAUGGAAGCUACUGCUCGACUUCGCGUGGUGGCAAUCCUACUGAUGUCGUCGCUCUUGCUGUCGCCGCCGUUUCUUCUCGCCGACGGCUCAUCAGGAGGAGGUAGCAGAGGCCGGGAGAUGAAGCACGAUGAUGGCCAUCUGGUUAUUGCUCCAAGAAAAUUGACAUGGCCUCGUCGAGUUCUAAACUCUGGCGAUCAACCGAACCACGACCCGAUACAUAACUCUCCUAUCUCCCCAGGAAGAAGCAAAAAUGAAGUCAGGCCUGGCAAUUGAUGAGAGAGUAUCCAUAAACACAACCACAUAAAGGAUUGGCAUUUAAAUUUUUGCUGGAAACAGAUACUCUGCAUUUCUGCUAUCUGACUUUGAGUGGUUGAAAUGUGGAUCUCACAACCAAUGGCCCUAUGUGUCAAUGAUCCAAGUAAAAAAAAAAAAAGUACUGUACAGAGGAGACUCAUCAUUUUCGUUGACAGCCUAAAACAGUCCAGGAAGAGUUUUUUUUUUCUUCUUAGUUUUUUUCUUGGGUGUGUGGUCUAAAAGAACAACGGCAGUAGCCCUGGUUAUUCAGUUAUGAUGUUGUUAUUGAAAUUAUUUUACGGAUGUCUGUUCAUUAGAAUUUAGUGGUAAAAAAAGAUAUUUUCAUAGGCACCCUCUUACAUUGCACAUACAGUCAGCAAGAGCAAUUGUGCCUAUGGAAGCCAAUUUCUCGUUGAGCGCAAUUCCUAUUUUAGUUAUCCAAAACCCCUAAUAAAGCAUGACAAAAGAUGGACAAUUAAGCCAUUGAUAUAACGUUUUUCACGACA